CAGCGAUCCUUGAACUCUGCCUGUUGCCA
rnacentral:piRNA from 1 species